rnacentral:rRNA from 1 species
UACGUAGGUGGCAAGCGUUGUCCGGAUUUACUGGGUGUAAAGGGCGUGUAGGCGGGAGAGCAAGUCAGAAGUGAAAUCCAUGGGCUUAACCCAUGAACUGCUUUUGAAACUGUUCUUCUUGAGUAUCGGAGAGGCAGGCGGAAUUCCUAGUGUAGCGGUGAAAUGCGUAGAUAUUAGGAGGAACACCAGUGGCGAAGGCGGCCUGCUGGACGACAACUGACGCUGAGGCGCGAAAGCGUGGGGAGCAAACAGG